rnacentral:rRNA from 1 species
GUGUCAGCAGCCGCGGUAAGACAGAGGGUGCAAACGUUGCUCGGAAUUACUGGGCGUAAAGCGCGUGUAGGCGGGCUGAUAAGUCGGAUGUGAAAUCCCUGAGCUCAACUCAGGAACUGCAUUCGAAACUGUCAGUCUUGAGUAGUGGAGAGGAAAGCAGAAUUCCUGGUGUAGAGGUGAAAUUCGUAGAUAUCAGGAGGAACACCGGUGGCGAAGGCGGCUUUCUGGACACUUACUGACGCUGAGACGCGAAAGCGUGGGGAGCAAACAGGAUUAGAAACCCGAGUAGUCC